AACGGUGUACCAAAGCAAACCUUUCAAAAGCGAUUUGAAAUUAGAAUAUCUGAUGUAAAUGAAGCGCCAACUGGCUUGCAUCUGAACAUCAGCGAGGUUCCAGAAAACACCAAGCCGAACCAUUGUAUUGGCGAGUUCAUGGUUACCGAUCCUGACAACAAAUUAACGAAACAGCAGGCGUUUACGUUUAAACUACUUGAUGCCAAUGUCAGUCAAUUCUAUAUUGAAAGCAAUCUUUUAAAGACUGGACAGUCGUCACUGGAUUUUGAAAAACAGCACACAUACACCGUACCUGUCCUCGUUGUUGACAAUGGCGUACCACCACUCUCGUCGA